CCUACGGGUGGCAGCAGUGGGGAAUAUUGGACAAUGGGCGAAAGCCUGAUCCGGCCAUGCCGCGUGUGUGAAGAAGGCCUUCGGGUUGUAAAGCACUUUCAGUGGGGAAGAAAGCCUUGGGGCUAAUACCCUCGAGGAAGGACAUCACCCACAGAAGAAGCACCGGCUAACUCCGUGCCAGCAGCCGCGGUAAUACGGAGGGUGCGAGCGUUAAUCGGAAUUACUGGGCGUAAAGCGCGCGUAGGCGGUCUGAUAAGCCGGUUGUGAAAGCCCCGGGCUCAACCUGGGAACGGCAUCCGGAACUGUCAGGCUAGAGUGCAGGAGAGGAAGGUAGAAUUCCCGGUGUAGCGGUGAAAUGCGUAGAGAUCGGGAGGAAUACCAGUGGCGAAGGCGGCCUUCUGGACUGACACUGACGCUGAGGUGCGAAAGCGUGGGUAGCAAACAGGAUUAGAUACCCUGGUAGUC
rnacentral:rRNA from 1 species